UCAGGUCAGAGAGAGUCAGGAAGGCUGAGUCCCUCUUCAGCAGCAGUCUGAAGAGAAGCCAUGCUACAGAGCAAAUCCGCAUGUUUCCCUCAAUGAAGGAAAGAUGACGAGCAACAAACCGGUCCACACGAAUGGGUAGGCUUUAAACUUGAAAAGGCCUUUUUUUUAUGUUUUUGAACUCUGCUUCAACAGCUGCGGAACUUGUAGUGAUGCUGGUGCUUUUGAAGAGAGGGACCAUUAUUGCUGUCCAGGGUGCCAAGUAACUUACAAGUCUUGUUAUGUGGGGAAUAAUCUCAGGGAGGAAGUGGAUGUUGUCUCGAUCCCCAUCAGCCAUGGCAAUACCAUCGGCAGAUCAUCUUAAUACAGUGUGCGACAUCUACCCUGACAAAACAUGGGGGUAGAUGUGCAGGUUGAUUCCCACGUGAAAUAUUAAAGCUCUUCAGAUCAGGAUGAGGGGUAAAAGCUUUGACUAGAGCUCCAAGAAUCGCCAGAGAAAAGUCACUCACUGCUUCUUUGGGAACAGAUGCACCUGCAUGGGUCCAUUCUUUCAGCCACUGUGUGAUAGCAUUAACAUCAUGCUUCUCUGACAGCCUCUGCACGACUGGGAUACUGGAGCUGGUAUGCCCUGUCAUAACACCCUGAUACAGGAAGAUAUGGCCAGACAUGCCAUUCGGUCUCAUCAGUUUUUUAACUAUUGAGCCAGUUGCAUCAAU